UUAUGUCUUCUACAUGUGUGUUUCUUUCUAUGUUUUUUUUUUUUUUUUUUUUUUUUUUUUACCGCCUUCAAAAACCCAAAAAAUAAAUGCUGAAAAAUUAGAAAAUAAAAAUCGAUCCUGAGUUGUUUUUAAUUUUCCUUCUAUCUCUUCGCCACGAGAAAAAUAAGAAAGAAAAAAAGGAAAAAAUAUAAUGCAAAAUUAUCAUCGCCAUUGUUCUGUGUCUAAAAAUACAUCUACACGUACCAUACAUAUAUAUAUAUA
rnacentral:ribozyme from 1 species